UCCCUGGUAGUAUAUCGGUUAGUACACGCGCCUGUCAUGGUUUGUGAACUAGAGGACGCGCGAAAGCUGGGUUCGACUCCCAGCCAGGGAG